rnacentral:misc_RNA from 1 species
CCGAGUUUACAACUCCCAAACCCCAAUGUGAACGUUACCAAACUGUUGCCCUCGGCGGGAUUUCUGCCCCGGGCGCGUCGCAGCCCCGGACCAAGGCGCCCGCCGGAGGACCAAACCUUACAAACUCUUUUUGUAUGUCCCUCUGCGGACUCUUUACAUUUCUGAGCUUUCUCGGCGCUCCUAGCGAGCGUUUCGAAAAUGAAUCA